AGCAAUCGAGGCUGGGGCCCCGGUCCUGCCCUUCCCCGCCAGCGCCGCGGCCGAUGCGCGUCCGAGCCCCGCUUUUGCCGCAGUGCAUGCUCGCCCGCAGCAGUGGCCCGGGCCCCUGCCUCGGUCAGCCCGCUCGUGCUGUCACUUUAAAUCGUCCACACGCGCGUCCACACUCACACACACAUACACGGGCAGCCAUCCGCGCGCGCGGCCCCCUCCCCAGAGCCGCCCGGGCUUCCCCACGUGUGUGCGGGCUCGCCGGGCCGUGACACGCCCGCGGCAGCGGUUACUGUGUGUGAGGGGGAGGCAGCGGGCCCUGUCCCCCCGCCCGCCCCCACCUUCCCUGCCAGCGCCCCGGCCCCGCGCCCCACCCUCCAGUUCGGCCGGGGGACCCGCGCCGGCGAUGCGAGCGCGGAGAAAUAAAGUCUGAACAAGGAGAGACUGCGCCGCGGUCACGUCCCGGGGCAAGUGCCGGGCGCGAGGGCGGCCUGGGCCCGGAGCCCGAACGCUCCCGCCAGACAAAGCCAGCUCCCCAACGCCGGCCCGGCGGCGUGAUUGGGCUGAGCCCGAGCCGCGCGCGCCUUCGCUCCGACUAGGCUAGGCUGCCCUCGGCCGGGGCGCACGCCCGUGGAGACGAGCCUACGGCCACUGCGUGGGCCGGGGGAAGGACACGCGCGGAGGACGCUCCCGGGGAAACGUCUGCAAGAUCACAGAGCUGGAAGGGCCUUUGGAAACCAUCUAGCCUUUCAUGCUACAGAUGAGGAAAAUGAAGUCCACGAGAAUGAAUGACCUGCCCAAAGUCACCCAGGGAGAAAGAAAUAGUAAAAUAAAUAAGUUCUCUAAACCUGUCUUCAGCUCAGACUAAAUGAGAAAAAAAAGGAAAACCAGGAUGGAACAAGGAUCACAAAAUCCCGUAUUGGAUCACAGAGAGGCAGACGCGACUGGACUACUGGACAACAACGAUAGAGCCCUAGGUAUGGAAGUGCCCAUCUCCCACCCGUCACGAUUCCCUUUUUGAGAAUCCCUAAAAGUUGACCCUCCAUUCCAAUCUUACUGGAUCACAAAGAGGCGGACACGACUGGACAAUAAAUAACAAUAAAGCCCUAGGUAUGGAAAUGCCAUUUUUAGGAAUCUAUUCUGAUCUCCCACCCAUCAUAGGACUCCCUAAAUGAUGACCCUCCAUUCCAGUCUUACUGGAUCACAAAGAAGCAGAUGAGACUGGACUACUGGAAAACAACAGUAGAGCCCUAGGUAUGGAAGUGUGUAUCUCCCACCUAUCAUAGGACUCCCUUUUUGAGAAUCCCUGAAAGAUGACCCUCCAUUCCAAUCUUACUGGAUCACAAAGAAGCAGAUGAGACUGGACUACUGGACAACAACAGUAGAGCCCUAGGUAUGGAAGUGCCCAUCUCCCACCCAUCACAGGACUCAUUUUUUGAGAACCCCUGAAAGAUGACCCUGUAUUUCCAGUCUCAUCCUGAACCCUCCUUUGAGAAAUAUGACCUUCUAUCUCCAAUACCUCUGCUUUUGCCCAGGAUGUCUCUUCUCAGCCCUUGGGAUCCCUUCCGCAGAUACCUGAUCAAUGAGAUAAUGUAAUCCCUGAAGGUAAUAGUGACGUGAUACAAUGUAAUGACGAGAUAAGGAAAUAAAAAUAAUGAGUAAAGCACUUUGCGAACCAUAAAGCAUUAUGUAAAUGUUGAUGCUGAUGAUUGCCUUUCAUUGUUAGUGUUUCCUCUCUGUGAAAUCACUUUGUUUCUAUUUCACAUGUUUUUCUCUGUGCCACAAUAUAGUUUUAUAUUAUAUCUCUACUAUCAGAAACUGAACUCCUUUGGGGCUAGGAUGACCAUGUUUCUGUCUUAAUAAAUGCUUUUGGAAUCGAUGGUUUCAAAA